rnacentral:misc_RNA from 1 species
GAUGAAGAACGUAGCGAAAUACGAUAAGUAAUGUGAAUUGCAGAAUUCAGUGAAUCAUCGAAUCUUUGAACGCACCUUGCGCCUCUUGGUAUUCCGAGGGGCAUGCCUGUUCGAGCGUCAUUAUAACCCCUCAAGCUCAGCUUGGUGUUGGGGCCUGCUGCACUGGCAGCCCUUAAAAUCAGUGGCGGCGCCAUCUGGCUCUAAGCGUAGUAAUUCUUCUCGCUAUGGAGUCCUGGUGGAUGCUUGCCAUCAACCCCCAAUUUUUCUAUGGUUGACCUCGGAUCAGGUAGGGAUACCCGCUGAACUUAAGCAUAUCAAUAAGCGGAGGA